rnacentral:rRNA from 1 species
CCUACGGGUGGCAGCAGUGGGGAAUAUUGGACAAUGGGGGCAACCCUGAUCCAGCCAUGCCGCGUGUGUGAAGAAGGCCCUCGGGUUGUAAAGCACUUUCAGUGAGGAAGAACGCCUGGUGGUUAAUACCCAUCAGGAAAGACAUCACUCACAGAAGAAGCACCGGCUAACUCCGUGCCAGCAGCCGCGGUAAUACGGAGGGUGCGAGCGUUAAUCGGAAUUACUGGGCGUAAAGCGCGCGUAGGUGGCUUGAUAAGCUGGUUGUGAAAGCCCCGGGCUCAACCUGGGAACGGCAUCCGGAACUGUCAAGCUAGAGUGCAGGAGAGGAAGGUAGAAUUCCCGGUGUAGCGGUGAAAUGCGUAGAGAUCGGGAGGAAUACCAGUGGCGAAGGCGGCCUUCUGGACUGACACUGACACUGAGGUGCGAAAGCGUGGGUAGCAAACAGGAUUAGAUACCCCGGUAGUC